rnacentral:lncRNA from 1 species
UUGUGCCAGAGACUCACCCCCACUUCAUCGGCACCUACUGGGGCGCAGUUAGCACUGCCUUUUGUGCUGAGAUUGUUGAGUCCGCAGAUGCCUACCUCUUUGCUGGACCCAUUUUCAAUGACUACAGCUCUGUUGGCUACUCUUUCCUCCUGAAGAAGGACAAGGCCAUCAUCGUCCAACCUGAACGUGUGAUAGUUGGGAAUGGGCCGGCAUUUGGAUGUGUCAUGAUGAAGGAGUUCUUGUCUGGAUUGGCUAAGAGGGUUAAGAAGAACACCACUGCCUAUGAGAACUAUAAGAGGAUCUUUGUGCCUGAGGGCCAGCCACUGGAAAGUGAGCCGAAUGAGCCACUGCGUGUCAAUGUACUCUUCAAGCACGUUCAGAAGAUGCUGACAGGUGACAGUGCCGUGAUCGCUGAGACUGGUGACUCCUGGUUCAACUGCCAGAAGCUCAAGCUGCCCGAGGGCUGUGGGU